GACGAACGCUGGCGGCGUGCCUAAUACAUGCAAGUCGAACGCACUCUCGUUUAGAUUGAAGGAGCUUGCUCCUGAUUGAUAAACAUUUGAGUGAGUGGCGGACGGGUGAGUAACACGUGGGUAACCUGCCCUAAAGUGGGGGAUAACAUUUGGAAACAGAUGCUAAUACCGCAUAAAACCUAAACACCGCAUGGUGUAGGGUUGAAAGAUGGUUUCGGCUAUCACUUUAGGAUGGACCCGCGGUGCAUUAGUUAGUUGGUGAGGUAAAGGCUCACCAAGACCGUGAUGCAUAGCCGACCUGAGAGGGUAAUCGGCCACACUGGGACUGAGACACGGCCCAGACUCCUACGGGAGGCAGCAGUAGGGAAUCUUCCACAAUGGACGAAAGUCUGAUGGAGCAACGCCGCGUGAGUGAAGAAGGUUUUCGGAUCGUAAAACUCUGUUGUUGGAGAAGAGUGUAUCUGAUAGUAACUGAUCAGGUAGUGACGGUAUCCAACCAGAAAG
rnacentral:rRNA from 1 species